UUAGUUAUACUACAGCGCUUGGCGUUCGUCACGUCGAAGGAACUCGGGAGAAUGGUUACGUCAGUUUUCGCCGUUGUAGUGUCGUCUCUGCUGAUCAGAUCAGCACUGUCAGCUGAGACCAGCUGGGGACGAUGCCCUGUACCUCCCGCAAUGUAUGGAUUUGAAAUGAGUAAGUUUGAGGGCGUGUGGUACCUGCAGGAGACUUUCGACCCCGGGGAGAGGUGCGCCACCUGGAACGUCACCAAGGGUCGCGAAUCGAACACCUGGAAAGUGGUCGAGAGCAAGGAAAGCGGAGCCUGGAGCGCCAUGGGCUUCAGGCACGCGGACUUCCACACCGGGACCAUCACCAUGUUGGACGCCAAGAACCAAGGCGAUCUCAGGGUCUUCUGGCCAAUAUCUGGUCGGUGAUAUAUCGUCAGUUUGUUAUGAUGUUGAGAUAAUACUUCAGGAUUAGAGUGAUAUAUUGUCAACAAUAUUGUUGAUUGGGAAAAACUCUCUUCUAAGGGGUCCACAAUAGUAAUAAAAUA